rnacentral:rRNA from 1 species
AAUCCAUAGGUUAAUGAGGCGAACCGGGGGAACUGAAACAUCUAAGUACCCCGAGGAAAAGAAAUCAACCGAGAUUCCCCCAGUAGCGGCGAGCGAACGGGGAGGAGCCCAGAGCCUGAAUCAGCAUGUGUGUUAGUGGAAGCGUCUGGAAAGGCGCGCGAUACAGGGUGACAGCCCCGUACACAAAAGCGCAUGUGCUGUGAGCUCGAUGAGUAGGGCGGGACACGUGGUAUCCUGUCUGAAUAUGGGGGGACCAUCCUCCAAGGCUAAAUACUCCUGACUGACCGAUAGUGAACCAGUACCGUGAGGGAAAGGCGAAAAGAACCCCGGCGAGGGGAGUGAAAAAGAACCUGAAACCGUGUACGUACAAGCAGUGGGAGCACAGGUUUACCUGUGUGACUGCGUACCUUUUGUAUAAUGGGUCAGCGACUUAUAUUCUGUAGCAAGGUUAACCGAAUAGGGGAGCCGGAGGGAAACCGAGUCUUAAUUGGGCGUUAAGUUGCAGGGUAUAGACCCGAAACCCGGUGAUCUAGCCAUGGGCAGGUUGAAGGUUGGGUAACACUAACUGGAGGACCGAACCGACUAAUGUUGAAAAAUUAGCGGAUGACCUGUGGCUGGGGGUGAAAGGCCAAUCAAACCGGGAGAUAGCUGGUUCUCCCCGAAAGCUAUUUAGGUAGCGCCUCGUGAAUUCAUCUCCGGGGGUAGAGCACUGUUUCGGCUAGGGGGCCAUCCCGGCUUACCAACCCGAUGCAAACUGCGAAUACCGGAGAAUGUUAUCACGGGAGACACACGGCGGGUGCUAACGUCCGUCGUGAAGAGGGAAACAACCCAGACCGCCAGCUAAGGUCCCAAAGUCAUGGUUAAGUGGGAAACGAUGUGGGAAGGCCCAGACAGCCAGGAUGUUGGCUUAGAAGCAGCCAUCAUUUAAAGAAAGCGUAAUAGCUCACUGGUCGAGUCGGCCUGCGCGGAAGAUGUAACGGGGCUAAACCAUGCACCGAAGCUGCGGCAGCGAACGUAUCACUUAAAGCGAUUCAGCGGGUUACGAUUGACGGAGCGAAGCGACGUCAAAGCGUAUACAAAGUCGAGUCGGUUUAAGGAUACGUUCGUUGGGUAGGGGAGCGUUCUGUAAGCCUGUGAAGGUGGCCUGUGAGGGUUGCUGGAGGUAUCAGAAGUGCGAAUGCUGACAUAAGUAACGAUAAAGCGGGUGAAAAGCCCGCUCGCCGGAAGACCAAGGGUUCCUGUCCAACGUUAAUCGGGGCAGGGUGAGUCGACCCCUAAGGCGAGGCCGAAAGGCGUAGUCGAUGGGAAACAGGUUAAUAUUCCUGUACUUGGUGUUACUGCGAAGGGGGGACGGAGAAGGCUAUGUUGGCCGGGCGACGGUUGUCCCGGUUUAAGCGUGUAGGUGUGUGUUCCAGGUAAAUCCGGUUCACUUUAACACUGAGGCGUGACGACGAGGCACUACGGUGCUGAAGCAACAAAUGCCCUGCUUCCAGGAAAAGCCUCUAAGCAUCAGGUAACAUCAAAUCGUACCCCAAACCGACACAGGUGGUCAGGUAGAGAAUACCAAGGCGCUUGAGAGAACUCGGGUGAAGGAACUAGGCAAAAUGGUGCCGUAACUUCGGGAGAAGGCACGCUGACAC